AUGAAGUACCAAUUCAGUUUGCAUGGUGAGAUGAUGUACAAUGGCCUUGAUGCCUGGGUGCGUGGCUGGAACGACGGGGAGAGGAGCAUGAUGCAGAGCGUUGAUCUCCCAAACUGGAGAGGAUUGCUACCACCUGAUGUUGUGCUCCACAUUGAAAAUAUUGAUACUGACAACGCCCGUGCUGUGCUCAUUGCGAUGCUUUCGACGUCCAAGCUUGGUUUCCCACUCUGCAUGUGUUGUCUGCUCUUGUUCCCUGUGUGGCUUGCUAACGACUGGUCCCUGUACGCCUUCGACAUGGAGCUGACCAGGGUCACGGUGAUGGACCCAUUGUACAUGCAGGUGGGGUCACCAGUGUACGAGAGGAAGCACGGGGCGACCGUGCGCAUGCUGCUUAAAGGGCUUAAAAUCCUGGCCACCAUCCUGUUUGAUGACUGGGAGAUGGAUAUCUCCAAAUGGACUGUUCGGUACAACAUUGAUAUGCACAUAGCUUGUGGCAGCGGUGAAUCGCCUGGCUACAUUGCGCACUAUGCGGACAACUUCAAUGCUUACGAGCUAGAGGAAGCCGUUCCUGAAGUUGGUCUUCCCCUGCGUCGGAAAAGGAUGCUCUAUGAGACAAUUCCCUGCUCGGGCAACACCGCUCCUCACCCAGGAUUCAUGGAGGAAGUGGAGGUGGAGGAGUAG
rnacentral:rRNA from 1 species